rnacentral:lncRNA from 1 species
CGCCCUUGUUGAUGAGCUGAACCACAUUCUCUGUUUGGCCUUUGUACGCAGCUACGAGAAGGCGCUCUGAAAGUGCAGCGACCGCAUCUUGCUGGCUCAUGAAUUAGGAAAGAAAGGUUUUCAGGGAAGCGGUAGACAAGUUCCUUCAGCUCAACACGAAGUCACUGGCCCGGCCUGGCACCCAGAGGUGUUGGGGCAUUGAAAUCAGACACGGAUUUCAUUCCAACUGACUGCAUGCUGUAUGCCACAGUGUUUUGCAAAGAGUAGAUACUCAUUAACCAGUUGGUGAGAGCUGUUUCUAUAUGACAAGAGACCUCUAGAAAAGUGGAAUCAGGUAACAUCACAGAAAGAGACAAGCAGCAACUAGACAGUGUGUCCUCCUGCUAAAAGUACGUAACGUCGGUUGUGAAGUAGUCCUGUCCCUCUCACCCAGAAAAAGGGCCCGACUCUGACGAAGCUUUCAGGAAAUCUAACUACCAAGACACCAUGAAAACAGGAACCAUGUCAGUUUUUGCUGUUUAGAGUAUCUUCAGUACCUGGCAUAGCACCUGCUACAAGGAGACCCAACCUCUCUACUGGAUGUUUUACAAAUAUAGCAUUGACUGGCGUUUAAGACUAUUGCUGUAAGUUUAUGUUGGGAGUAACAACAAUCAAAGCAGAAGACAAUUUUUACUUUUCUAUACCAUCUAUGCAUGGAAGUCUAUCUACAUGGCCUAUACAGGCUUAUCAUAUGACCUUGUAACUGCUUUCAUGUUGACUUCUCCAGGACUCAAAGAACAGUCAAGGUCACUUACUGUCAACACCCA